UUCUACGAUUAUGAUGAUUUCUCCGGCGAGAUUCGACGACUCCGGCGAGAUUUGAAGACGCUGACGUCCGACGAGAUUUGGCGAAGACUACAAGCUCAAACGAACAAAACAUGACGAAUGCGUAACAAAGGUGUGGCAAUGUCAACUGGGCUAAGCGUUUAAAAUGUAAUGUCUGCAACACCAAUAAACCUGGUCAGAAUGAAUGUGGUGUGAGGGGAGGUCGUGGUGGUGGCUACAAGGAAUUGGAUGAACAAGAAUUAGAGGAAACAAAGAGACGAAGGGGUGAGGCUGAAGAAGUAAUAGCAUAUGCUUCUAAUGCAGAGUUCUUUGUUACUUCUUUUGUUGCAUUUAGUUCUUUUAUAAAUGUUUAUAAAUCAUUUUUGAGUUCCUUGUACUCAUUUUGCCUAGCAUUCCUCAAAGACUUCCCAAGUUCACACAUUUAUAUGUUUUUUAUAGACAUAUGCGAUCCACUUUUGUUUGAAAACUUCUUUAUAAAGACUUAUAAAUCGUCUAGUUGUACUUUUAACAAUAUCCUAAAAUUCAGAUUUAUAAGGAAUUAUAGUUCUGUAAAAAUGUAGUGUUCACUAUCCGAAAAUCUUAAUCUUAACCAGAACUAUUCAAAUAACAAGUUAAGCCUUAUUUGUUUUUUUUGGAUAACAGAAAGAAGCAAAUCCUAAAAUUAAUUGAACUCUUGUUUAAAUACUUCUUUAUAAAGAUUUAUAAAUCGUCGAGUUGUACUUUUAACAAUAUCUUGAAAUCUAGAUUUAUAUUUAUAAAGGUGUAAAAAAAUAUUUGGAACAAAUUUAAUUUUUAGUAAAUAA